GCUCGCGUGGCGGAAUUGGCAGACGCGCUGGCCUUAGAAGCCAGUGGGCAACCCCCGUAGCCGUUCGAGUCGGCUCGCGAGCA
rnacentral:tRNA from 1 species